AUACGGAGGGUGCAAGCGUUACUCGGAAUCACUGGGCGUAAAGCGCGCGUAGGCGGUCUUUUAAGUUGGAUGUGAAAGCCUACAGCUCAACUGUAGAACUGCAUCCAAAACUAUUAGACUAGAGUCUGGGAGGGGAAGAUGGAAUUAGUUGUGUAGGGGUAAAAUCCGUAGAAAUAACUAGGAAUACCAAAAGCGAAGGCGAUCUUCUGGAACAGUACUGACGCUGAGGCGCGAAAGCGUGGGGAGCAAACAGGAUUAGAAACCCCGGUAGUCC
rnacentral:rRNA from 1 species